rnacentral:rRNA from 1 species
GAUGAACGCUGGCGGCGUGCCUAAUACAUGCAAGUCGAGCGAACGGACCAUAAGCUUGCUGCUCUGAUGUUAGCGGCGGACGUGUGAGUAACACGUGGAUAACCUACCUAUAAUACUGGGAUAACUUCGGGAAACCGGAUCUAAUACCAGAUAAUAUUCUGAACCGCAUGGUUCAAAAGUGAAAGACGGUCGUGCUGUCACUUAUAGAUGGAUCCGCGCUUGAUUAGCUAGUUGGUAAGUUAACGGUUUACGAAGGCAACGAUGCUUAGCCGACCUGAGAGGGUGGUAGGCCACACUGGAACUGAGACACGGUCCAGGCUACUACGAGAGGCAGCAGUCGGGCAUCUUCCGCAACGGGCGGAAGCCUGACGGAGCAAGGCCGAGUGAGUGAUGAAAAUCUUCCGAGCGUAAAACUCUGUUAUUGGGGACAAACAUAUGUGUAAGUAACUGUGCACAUCUUGACGGUACCUAAUAAGAAAGCCACGGCUAACUACGUG